rnacentral:rRNA from 1 species
UGCCAGCCGCCGCGGUAAUACGGAGGGGGUGAGCGUAGUUCGGAAUUACUGGGCUUAAAGAGUUCGUAGGUGGUUAAAAAAGUUGGUGGUGAAAUCCCAGAGCUUAACUCUGGAACUGCCAUCAAAACUUUUUAGCUAGAGUAUGAUAGAGGAAAGCAGAAUUUCUAGUGUAGAGGUGAAAUUCGUAGAUAUUAGAAAGAAUACCGAUUGCGAAGGCAGCUUUCUGGAUCAUUACUGACGCUGAGGAACGAAAGCAUGGGUAGCGAAGAGGAUUAGAUA